GAUGAACGCUAGCUACAGGCUUAACACAUGCAAGUCGAGGGACCGGCGCACGGGUAAGUAACACGUAUCCAACCUGCCUUUACUCGGGGGAAGGCUUUCGCAAGGAGAAAUAAUUCCCAAUAGAUAGGGUGGGGAUGCGUUGCAUUGGGUUGUUGGUGAGGUAACGGCUCACCAAGCCUUCGAUGGAUAGGGGUGCUGAGAGGAAGGUCCACCACAUUGGAACUGAGACCCGGUCCCCACUCCGACGUGAGGCAGCAGUGAGGAAUAGUGGUCAAUGGGCGUUAGCCUGAACCAGCCAAGUAGCGUGAAGGAUGAAGGCUUAUGGGUCGUAUACUUCUUUUAUAGAAGAAGAGGUAUUAUAUGAAUAAGGAUCGGCUAACUCCGUGCCAGCAGCCGCGGUAAUAC
rnacentral:rRNA from 1 species